rnacentral:rRNA from 1 species
AGAGUUUGAUCCUGCAGAAUCAACGCUGGCGGGCUAACACAUGCAAGUCGCACGAGAAAGUGGAGCAAUCCAUGAGUAAAGUGGCGUACGGGUGAGUAACACGUGGAUCAUCUACCUCUUAGUGGGGAAUAACCCUGGGAAACCGGGGCUAAUACCGCAUAAGCCUGAAAAGGGAAAGCAGUAAUGCGCUGAGAGAGGAGUCCGCGGCCGAUUAGCUAGUUGGUAGGGUAAUGGCCUACCAAGGCAAUGAUCGGUAGCCGGCCUGAGAGGGCACACGGCCACACUGGCACUGAAACACGGGCCAGACUCCUACGGGAGGCAGCAGUGGGGAAUCUUGCACAAUGGAGGAAACUCUGAUGCAGCGACGCCGCGUGAGCGAUGAAGCCCUUCGGGGUGUAAAGCUCUUUCGACGGGAACGAUAAUGACGGUACCCGGAGAAGAAGCUGCGGCUAACUACGUGCCAGCAGCCGCGGUAAUACGUAGGCAGCAAGCGUUGUUCGGAAUUACUGGGCGUAAAGAGUGUGUAGGCGGUUUUCUAUGUUCGGUGUGAAAUCUCCCGGCUUAACUGGGAGGGUGCGCCGAAAACUGGAGAGCUUGAGUAUGGGAGAGGAAAGCGGAAUUCCUGGUGUAGCGGUGAAAUGCGUAGAUAUCAGGAGGAACACCUGCGGUGUAGACGGCUUUCUGGACCAUCACUGACGCUGAGACACGAAAGCGUGGGUAGCAAACAGGAUUAGAUACCCUAGUAGUCC